rnacentral:lncRNA from 11 species
UAGAAGUAUGCUGAAGGAGGGCUGGGGAAACAUAGAUUUUUCAUGCACAGAUUUUGCAGUAGCAUGCCCACAGUAAACAAGACAAUCAACAAAGUUUGAGCUGGGGAAGAUAGCAUAAGGGUUCUCCUUCAGUUAUUUGUGCUGUACCAAUGUGCUUCCAGAAGCCUUUACUGAUCACACAUAAAAAGCAAAAGAGAGAAGAAAAGGGAGAGGAGAUAAUCCAUCUUACCAGCACAUUUUGAGUUCUACAAAAAAAUGAGAGGAGAAGCUAUGGGAAAACACACAAAGGUUACAAUUGGAAGAAGAUCUCUUCUGGAUCCACCAUAACAUCCCAUGAAUCAGGUAGAGCAAUUGCACAACAAAAGCUUUGUCUGGAAGCAUCCCGGUUUGCAGCAGCUGUGAAAUAGGUUAAUACCAUGUGUUGG